GCGCGAGCGGCCGACUUCCGGUGCCACAUCACGUGGGAGGACCCUGCUAGCGAAAAACAGACUUCCGUUACGCGUCAGGUGGGCGGGGCGAAGGCCACGGGCCUAUGAGUUACAGUGCGGAAGCCAGUUCUGGGCCAGCUCCGGGGUAUCUGUGCACGUCAGCGUCAGCCACGGAACCCUACAACAGUGUUUCUUGGAGCCCAGGGCUCUUGGCCCCGGAAGAGCUCCUUUUGAUCCCGGAACUGCUAGUGGUGUGAACUCUCAGCUGCUGCUCCAACAUCAUUCCUGCCUGUCAGCUGCUGUGCUCCCUGCGUGGUCAGGCUCUCACCCGCUGAACUGUGAGCCACAGAUUAAAUGCCUUUUUGUUUUCCAUA